UAAUACGUAGGGGGCAAGCGUUGUCCGGAUUUAUUGGGCGUAAAGAGCGUGUAGGCGGCCAGAUAAGUCUGCUGUGAAAACUCGAGGCUCAACCUCGAGCUGUCGGCGGAAACUAUUUGGCUAGAGUCCGGAAGAGGAAAGCGGAAUUCCUGGUGUAGCGGUGAAAUGCGCAGAUAUCAGGAAGAACACCCGUGGCGAAGGCGGCUUUCUGGGACGGUACUGACGCUGAGACGCGAAAGCGUGGGGAGCGAACAGGAUUAGAUACCCUGGUAGUCCACGCUGUAAACGAUGGGUGCUAGGUGUGGGCGGUGUCGACUCCGUCCGUGCCGAAGCUAACGCAUUAAGCACCCCGCCUGGGGAGUACGGCCGCAAGGCUA
rnacentral:rRNA from 1 species